GACAGGGGGCUCGAGCGUUAAUCGGAAUCAUUGGGCUUAAAGGGUGCGUAGGCGGGUUGCUAAGUGUUCUGUGAAAUCCCCCGGCUCAACCGGGGAAUCGCAGGGCAUACUGGCAGCCUUGAGGCAUGUAGGGGCGGACGGAACUGUAGGUGGAGCGGUGAAAUGCGUAGAUAUCUACAGGAACGCCGAUGGUGAAGACGGUCCGCUGGGCAUGUCCUGACGCUGAGGCACGAAAGCGUGGGUAGCAAACAGG
rnacentral:rRNA from 1 species